AGUGAACGCUGGCGGUAGGCCUAACACAUGCAAGUCGAACGGCAGCACAGUAAGAGCUUGCUCUUACGGGUGGCGAGUGGCGGACGGGUGAGGAAUACAUCGGAAUCUACUUUUUCGUGGGGGAUAACGUAGGGAAACUUACGCUAAUACCGCAUACGACCUACGGGUGAAAGCAGGGGAUCUUCGGACCUUGCGCGAUUGAAUGAGCCGAUGUCGGAUUAGCUAGUUGGCGGGGUAAAGGCCCACCAAGGCGACGAUCCGUAGCUGGUCUGAGAGGAUGAUCAGCCACACUGGAAUUGAGACACGGUCCAGACUCCUACGGGAGGCAGCAGUGGGGAAUAUUGGACAAAGGGCGCAAGCCUGAUCCAGCCAUACCGCGUGGGUGAAGAAGGCCUUCGGGUUGUAAAGCCCUUUUGUUGGGAAAGAAAAGCAGCAGGUUAAUACCCCGCUGUUCUGACGGUACCCAAAGAAUAAGCACCGGCUAACUUCGUG
rnacentral:rRNA from 1 species